rnacentral:rRNA from 1 species
UACGUAGGGCGCAAGCGUUGUCCGGAAUUAUUGGGCGUAAAGAGCUCGUAGGCGGCCUGUUGCGUCCGCUGUGAAAUCCCGGGGCUCAACCCCGGGCCUGCAGUGGAUACGGGCUGGCUAGAGGCAGGCAGGGGAGAACGGAAUUCCUGGUGUAGCGGUGAAAUGCGCAGAUAUCAGGAGGAACACCGAUGGCGAAGGCAGAUCUCUGGGCCGUAACUGACGCUGAGGAGCGAAAGCAUGGGGAGCGAACAGG